rnacentral:rRNA from 1 species
AGAGUUUGAUCAUGGCUCAGAUUGAACGCUGGCGGCAGGCCUAACACAUGCAAGUCGAACGGUAACAGGAAGAAGCUUGCUUCUUUGCUGACGAGUGGCGGACGGGUGAGUAAUGUCUGGGAAACUGCCUGAUGGAGGGGGAUAACUACUGGAAACGGUAGCUAAUACCGCAUAACGUCGCAAGACCAAAGAGGGGGACCUUCGGGCCUCUUGCCAUCGGAUGUGCCCAGAUGGGAUUAGCUUGUUGGUGGGGUAACGGCUCACCAAGGCGACGAUCCCUAGCUGGUCUGAGAGGAUGACCAGCCACACUGGAACUGAGACACGGUCCAGACUCCUACGGGAGGCAGCAGUGGGGAAUAUUGCACAAUGGGCGCAAGCCUGAUGCAGCCAUGCCGCGUGUAUGAAGAAGGCCUUCGGGUUGUAAAGUACUUUCAGCGGGGAGGAAGGGAGUAAAGUUAAUACCUUUGCUCAUUGACGUUACCCGCAGAAGAAGCACCGGCUAACUCCGUGCCAGCAGCCGCGGUAAUACGGAGGGUGCAAGCGUUAAUCGGAAUUACUGGGCGUAAAGCGCACGCAGGCGGUUUGUUAAGUCAGAUGUGAAAUCCCCGGGCUCAACCUGGGAACUGCAUCUGAUACUGGCAAGCUUGAGUCUCGUAGAGGGGGGUAGAAUUCCAGGUGUAGCGGUGAAAUGCGUAGAGAUCUGGAGGAAUACCGGUGGCGAAGGCGGCCCCCUGGACGAAGACUGACGCUCAGGUGCGAAAGCGUGGGGAGCAAACAGGAUUAGAUACCCUGGUAGUCCACGCCGUAAACGAUGUCGACUUGGAGGUUGUGCCCUUGAGGCGUGGCUUCCGGAGCUAACGCGUUAAGUCGACCGCCUGGGGAGUACGGCCGCAAGGUUAAAACUCAAAUGAAUUGACGGGGGCCCGCACAAGCGGUGGAGCAUGUGGUUUAAUUCGAUGCAACGCGAAGAACCUUACCUGGUCUUGACAUCCACAGAACUUUCCAGAGAUGGAUUGGUGCCUUCGGGAACUGUGAGACAGGUGCUGCAUGGCUGUCGUCAGCUCGUGUUGUGAAAUGUUGGGUUAAGUCCCGCAACGAGC